CCGCACAANCGGUGNGCAUGUGGUUUAAUUCGANAUANGNCCAGACCCUACCAACCCUUGACAUGUCUGUCGCGAGUGUAGAAACUAGACUUUUCGGUUCGGCCGGACAGAACACAGGUGCUGCAUGGCUGUCGUCAGGCUCGUGUCGUGAGAUGUUGGGUUAAGUCCCGCAACGAGCGCAACCCCUACUUUUAGUUGCCAUCAGGUCAUGCUGGGCACUCUGAAAGAACUGCCAGUGAUAAGCUGGAGGAAGGUGGGGAUGACGUCAAGUCCUCAUGGCCCUUACGGGUUGGGCUACACACGUGCUACAAUGGUAGUGACAAUGAGAUGCAAGGUGGCGACGCUAAGCUAAACUCAAAAAUCUACCUCAGUUCGGAUUGCACUCUGCAACUCGAGUGCAUGAAGCUGGAAUCGCUAGUAAUCGUAGAUCAGCGUGCUACGGUGAAUACGUUCCCGGGUCUUGUACACACCGCCCGUCACACCAUGGAAGUUGGUUCUACCUUAAAGCAGAUUGCUAACCGCAAGGAGGCGUUUGACCAAGGUAUAGUCAGCGACUGGGGUGAAGUCGUAACAAGGUAACCGUAAGACUGGAGAUCUG
rnacentral:rRNA from 1 species